GGGCCGGUAGCUCAGUCAGGCAGAGCGUCUGGCUUUUAUCGCGGCUACGCGUUCGAUCCGCGUGGUUGCGGGAGAGACCAGAUGGUCGGGGGUUCAACUCCCUCCCGGCCCG
rfam:Halosimplex carlsbadense 2-9-1 contig_5, whole genome shotgun sequence.